GACGAACGCUGGCGGCGUGCUUAACACAUGCAAGUCGAACGAGUGGCGAACGGGUGAGUAACACGUGGGUGAUCUGCCUUGAACUUCGGGAUCAGCUUGGGACACUGGGUCUAAUACCGGAUAGUGCAAGAUGAGUUCGCGGCCUAUCAGCUUGUUGGUGGGGUAAUGGCUACCACGGCGCGACGGGUAGCCGGCCUGAGAGGGUGUACGGCGACAUUGGGACAGCGAUACGGCCGAGGCUCCUACGGGUGGCAGUAGUGGGAAAUAUAGCACAAGGAGCGGAAGCGUGAUGUAGCGAGGGGGCGUGGGGGAUGAAGGCCUUCGGGUUGUAAACUACUUUCGCCAGAGAAGCGGUACCUGCAUAAAAAGCAACGGCGAACUACGUGCCAGCAGCCGCGGUAAUAC
rnacentral:rRNA from 1 species